ACAAAGAAAAAGAAACUGAAAAAUGAAUAAGAACAACGAUAUACUUGAGCUAUGAGUAACUCUCACCCAGAGACUUGGAAUCCAAUAUGGUAUGUAUCAAGGUGGAUAUAGAAGAGUGCCGAAGCUUAGCAAAGUCAGAGAACAUUAGCACAACGCCGGCCUUCAAAAUUUACAAGAAUGGUUCAAAUGUCAAAGAUAUUGCAGGAUCUGACUUCAAUCAGCUAUUAGCUAGAGCACUACAUUAAAAGUUUUGAAACUUUAGGGGUGAGCUUGUAAUGUGGGGAAACUUUAGCAUGAAAAAAAGUGUAAAUUGUUCAAGUAUCUAAUAGCUUGUAAUGUCGGG